UCGUCUUUUGCUUUUUUAAUAUAAAAGAUAAUGCCUGCCCAGUGAACUACAAUAUUUUUAACGGCCGCGUUAGCGUGAGCGUGCUAAGGUAGCGUAAUAAAUAGCCUUUUAAUUGAAGGCCAGUGAAUGGCAAGACUAGGAAUACCUCUACCAGAUAUGGCAAAAAAACUUUUCAUCUGAGUGAAAAGACUCAGAUACUUAAGGAAGACGAAAAGACCCCGCGGAGCUUAACUUAAUAAAUUUUAUAAUAAAACAAUAAAAUUUUAAAAGUUUGAUUGGGGCAAUCUUGGAACAAAAAUAACUUCCAAUCUAAUAAACAAAAACAUAAAAAGCUUACUAAGAACUAUAAAGCAGCUACCCCGGGGAUAACAGCGUUAUCCAGCUUGAGAGUACAUAUCGAAAGCCGGGUUUGCGACCUCGAUGUUGGCUUAAGGGUAUCCACAUUAGUGCAGCCGCUAUGAAAGGAUAGUCUGUUCGACUAUUGCACCCUUA
rnacentral:rRNA from 2 species